rnacentral:rRNA from 1 species
AGGGUUCGAUUCUGGCUCAGGAUGAACGCUAGCUACAGGCUAACUACAUGCAAGCGAGGGGCAGCAUGAGAGUAGCUUGCUACUUUGAUGGCGACCGGCGAAUGGGUGAGUAACGCGUAUCCAACCUGCCGCACACCCGGGAAUAGCCCUUGGAAAUGAGGAUUAAGUCCCGAUAGGCAUGGUAGUUGCAUGACUACUGUGUGAACCCAGGUAUGCGAUGGGGAUGCGUCCGAUUAGCUUGCCGGCGGGGUAACGGCCCACCGGGGCAUCGAUCGGUAGGGGUUCUGAGAGGAAGGUCCCCCACACUGGUACUGAGACACGGACCAGACUCCUACGGGAGGCAGCAGUGAGGAAUAUUGGUCAAUGGACGAGAGUCUGAACCAGCCAAGUAGCGUGCAGGAUGACGGCCCUAUGGGUUGUAAACUGCUUUUUCCGGGGAAUAACAUGUGCCACGUGUGGCACUUUGCAUGUACCCGGUGAAUAAGGACCGGCUAAUUCCGUGCCAGCCGCGGC